rnacentral:misc_RNA from 1 species
CGCACAUUGCGCCCCUUGGUAUUCCGGGGGGCAUGCCUGUUCGAGCGUCAUUUCAACCCUCAAGCUUUGGCUUGGUCUUGGACGCGGUCGAGUGACCCGUCCGUAACCCGUUGGCGGUGCAGUCCGGCUUCAAGCGUAGCAAAAAUUUCGCUUCAGGAGUCCGCGGCGGCGCCCGCCAGGUAAUCACAUCCCAAAGUUUGACCUCGGAUCAGGUGAGGAUACCCGCUGAACUUAA